CAGCGAUUCAAUCCAGUCUCAUAAAUCUAGGGAUUCACUGGAAGAUGCGAGUACUGACAUCAGACUCCAUAGUGAGGUCCAGAAGUCCCAUGUUCGUAUGGUCAAGACUUCAGCACUUUGCUGUACCCAUCCCUGCUAUCCAUCCCGCCACCAUUAACCCAUGAGGACAGAAGACAGUGAUUCAACCCUGAUCACAUUAUGAAAUGGAGGUUUCGGGGAUAGAGGCACGAGUGUAAGGGAUGCUGCAGGUGAGAGCCACCUUGUGUGCCCAAUCUGCAACCCUGGAGGAGCUGCAGACUCACUUGAGCCUGGAAGGCAACGUGGAUGGGAACUCUGGAGUGCAGAGGUGCCAGGAUGGGCCCUGAGGAGGGACAGUGGAGCACUUGGGAACUGCAGGGGACACUGUGGGUGAGACUAGGAGGGGCUGGGAGUAGUUUUCAUAUUUAAUCAGGUAGUUGAUCCAAAGUCAUACUACUACUUGCAAAAUCCAAGAAAUACUGAAAAAACUGAAUUCCAUCAUAGAAACAAGAGUAAAAGAAAUCUAGGAGGGGAAAAUAUGUUUCUAUACAACUAAGAAAUCGAGCUGGACUUGGAGCGUAAGAGUAUUGGGUUUAAUCAAACAUUUUUAAGUAUACAUGGAAAUGAUCAUAUUAUUUUUUAUUUUUGAUCCAUUGAUUGAUUAUGAAAUUAAUCCAUUGGUUAUGAAAUUUGUAAUAAUAUUAAACCAUUUUUACCUAUCUGGAAUUAAACCCAUGUUUGUUAUGACAGAUAACUCGUUUAAUAAUCUGUCAAAUUCAAUUUGCUAGUAUUUUAUUUGAGAUGUUUAUACCUCUUGUCUCAGAGUGGAAGCCCCAAUGUGAAGGUGAACUAUAUCAAAUAUUUGGCUCUGGUUUCUUCUUCUGGGGCAUGUAUAAUUCUCAAGUUUUCUACACAUUCUUAAGUCUCAAGACCUUACAUCCAUCACCAUUUUUAUCUUUUAAACAUUUCCCUCUAGGUUCAGGAAGAGUUUCUCAAGUUUUUCCUCCACAUUUCUGGUGCAAUUUUCUGCAAGAUCUGCUCUUUCACCUCACCAUCUUCAAUUGGAUUUUAAUCCACCUACUGCAUUUGGAAUUUCCCAGCAUUCUUUUCUUAUUUCAGCCAACAACUUUUGCACGCUGCCUUCAUCUCAGCCCAUUUUGACUUCACAGCUUCUUGUUCCUGUUUCAUAGAAGCAGACAGCAGGAAAGUUUGUUCCACAAUUCUCUUCUUUAUCUAAUAGAAUAACACGAAUCGUCAGGUAAAGUCUCCCAUAAUUUGCAUUCCUUUCCCAUAAUUUGCGGGACCUUCCUAUAGGCCCCUCGUUAAUCUUUUCUUUUCAUUCAUUCAUCCUUAAGAGAUUGCUACCUAAGCCUGGAGUUUCCAGCAGCCCCCAUCACUGCAUAUUCUGGUGCUGAACUGCCCUUCUAAGACCAGCCACUUAGGUCAACUCGUGGGCCUUUGUCGGGUAAUGCUGCUGGGCUCAAGGUAGAUUUUCCUUGCUCUAACUAUCAGGUUCUCUGAAUCAGAUGCAGGCUUACUUCCUCUUAUCUACAAACGACAGAUUAUACACCUUAUCCAGAAUGGUGUCCAGGGCUCUCGUGGACUCUACUCUGCUUCUGAUGCUUCCCUUUAGGCAUCUAAGUGAGCCAAGACGCAACGCGCCUCCUCCAGUUCCCCGGCACUUUGUGGGAAAUGUGGCUUUCAAAUGGAUGCAGGUAAAGAUGAUCUGAAGGCAGUGGUGUGAGGGGCCGGGGAUGAUGGGGGCAUCCUGGGACAAGAUAGGACUCCAGCAGCUCGGCUAGCUCUGAAGAGAGUGAAGGAGAGACAGCUUGAUUUUCUAAUCCUUGUCCCUGUGACUUGUAGAUAGGGACAUCCGUAGGAAACUGUGUAGGUUAUUUCAUAUUCCAUCUUUGGAUUGGGGCUGUUUUAAUUGGAGAAUAUGUGCUCUAACAUUAUUUCUCAAUCUUUUCCUAUUGAUGAGGUCAUCAAUAACAAUUAUCCCCAGAACUUAACACAUAACCUCUCUUAUAUUUUGUUAAAGGAUUGUUAUCUGCUUGCUUGUUUGCAUUUUCGUGAGUUUUACACUGCCAUUUGCGGGGGCGGGGGCAACAAUACCAGACACCACACACCAAGUUAAAUCCAAAAUCCUUACUUCUGAAUUCUAAAUUUCACUGAAUUUUAUUCUUCGUUUUCUUCCUAACUAAAUAGCCAUUAUACAUAGUUAAAAUUGUACUGGGCUGUAGCAUAGUGAUCAUUUUUAGGCUAUGCAAGUAUAUAAGAUAGUGUCCCUAAACUAAAGAGCCCCAAUCGGUUGCGCUUUAAAAAAAUCCUUUUGUUUUCUGGAUCGCUCCUCCCCAGGCUUUGGGUGAGGCCAUCACUUCUGGCUUCCCUUGAGGACCACCCUAUCCUUCCUGAGCAGAGCCUCUAAGGUGCCAUGGCGGAAAGGACUAUGCUUAUUUCUGAAAAAGGAGUCGUAGAAUCUCAAGUUGGAAGAAAACUUUUAUAAGGUCUAAUCCAGUCCUGCUCUUCUGGAGGCCUCUCUCCCCCUCUGCCCACCUCUCCCCACCCCUGCAUACUCACCAAGUGGUCAUUGGUCCUCUGUGUGAGCACCUCUGGAGGUCAGGAGCUCACUGCCCCUCAGGGCAGUCCAUUCCAUCUCUGGGCAGCUCUGAUUGUUAUCAAGUCAUUUCUUACAUAGAGCUGAAACCUGUUUCUCCUUUGCUUCACUGCCAUCGACCCUGAUUCUCAGAGGUGUGGACUCAGAGCCUGAGUCUGUCCAUUCUUCCGCACAAGCCCUGUCAGACCACUGAACACAGAUUUCGCACUCCUCCCCCAUCCCAAAUUCUCUCUUCUCUGAGAUCAACAUGUUCAGUUCCUUCACCCACUCCUGUGGUUCCUCGUAACUACUUAGUUGUGUCAUGUGACUCAUAGGAGUUCUCGGUUCAUUGAAUGGGAAGCAGGAACACCAAGGUCUCCUCAGCACCAAAAGGUGAAAGUGCCAGGGAGAGAAUGCCAUCAACUAUCACUGGGGGGUCAUCACAGGGCAAGACAGGACUUUCCAAAGAAGAUGGGCGGGAAGUGUGCGUCUGAGCUAGAGCUGCUCUGAUCAAUGAGAUGAGAUGGCCACUCACCUGGGAAACUAGAGGAGAGGCUAGUAAAGAAGUGCACUCCAGAAGUGUAAACAGGGUGAAGGGAAACCACAGAGAUGGUGCCAUCCCGGGAGCUGGUAACAGUGGGACACGGUCACCCUCCCUAGGUCUGAAGGGGUGAGGGAGGGAGUGGGUUACAGUAGAACACAGUGCAGAGUCUAUUACUGGUAAAACUUUUCUAUUACCUUUGUCAAAAAAAUAGGAACAUUGAUAAAAAUUCUAUAGCUUAUAUUUUUAAACUUUCAUUUUGAAUAUUAAUUGGCAUCUGUUAAACUGCUAAGAACUCAUUGGCUUUAAUGAAGCAUCAAAAACGAAUGAACUAAGUAACCAGGAGGGCUGAAGUGGGAGUGUGGAGAGAAGCGCAUUCUGCCACUAUUUCAGAGGGGCCUGGGAGCAAGUGGAAACCGCCCUCCCCCUGCUCCCAGAGGUGGCGAUUGUAUGUCCCUGUUUGGCUCAGGUCUGGAGCACACCGUGGCUGGGAGGCAGCUGGCACCAGCCCAGGCAUGAAUGCGUGCUACCCCUCUGGGCCCCACUUCUAGCAGGUCACCCGGGUCUGUGUUGUCACCUUGAAACGUUUGAGAGAGCUGUGAGCUUCAGAAGGUGAGACGUGUGGGGCUGGGGCUGGGGGCAGGGAAGGCCAGCCCUGGAGGGUGGCUGGAGAGCUUUUGACAGCCCAGACCAGAGCCCGGGGUCCUAUUCCUGACGACGUGAGCCCCCAGGCAGGCGCCGAGUGGAUAAGAGUGUAGACAGUGAGGCCGGCUGUGAUGCUUGCCAGCACCUGCAGAUAGCAGGCAAAUAAUUG
ensembl:lncRNA